rnacentral:rRNA from 1 species
AUUGAACGCUGGCGGCAGGCCUAACACAUGCAAGUCGAGCGGAGCGGGGGACGGGUGCGUAAUGGCUAGGAAUCUGCCUGGCCGUGGGGGAUAACGUCCGGAAACGGGCGCAAAUACCGCAUACUCUCAGCUGAGCGUAGGUCGGAUUAGCUAGUUGGUGGGGUAAAGGCCUACCAAGGCGACGACCCGUAACCGGUCUGGGUGGAUGAUCAGUCACACUGGAACUGAUACACGACCCAGACUCCAACGGGACGCAGCGGUGGGGAAAAGAGGACAAGGCGAGGGAGCCUGGUCCAGCCAUGCCGCGUGUGUUGAGAAGGUCUUGGGAUUGUAGAGCUCUUUAGGUUGGGAGGCGGUACCGACUGAAUAAGCACCGGCUAACUCCGUGCCAGCAGCCGCGGUAAUUC